rnacentral:tRNA from 1 species
GGAGGAUUACCCAAGUCUGGCUGAAGGGAACGGUCUUGAAAACCGUUAGGUGGGUCAAACCACGCAAGAGUUCGAAUCUCUUAUCCUCCU